AAAGGAGAGAGGGAGACAGAGAUUGAGAAAGUCCAAGAAAACAGGAAGAGAAGUGAGACAGAGGAGGCCACAGACCACGUCAGAAGAUCCCGCCCGCAGCAGCAGUAACAGGAUAUUGGAACAAACUUGGAAUUUCAUGAACUUUUCCACAACCCUCUUCCAUGUCUGCAGGGAGCUACCCGACAGGAUUGUCAGGGGUCACUGGGGCUGCAGAAGUCCCGUCUCAUCUAUUGCUGCAGAGUAAAUGCAACAGAAAGACGGGCAUGGUGGCUCAGGC